AAGAUUGGCCGAGAGGCCUUAUCUCUAUAUCCCACACCUCUGUGAACCGUUGACCCUCGGGUCUAUCAUACAAACAUCAGUGUAAUGAACGUAAAUAACAUUAACAAAACA
rnacentral:misc_RNA from 1 species